GGAAUGCUGACUCUCUCACAUCUCAAAACUCUUCCUACCAAAGGAGAAAAAUGAAGUCUGAGAAAUAUUUUACUCUAAUAAGUGAAAUUUUGAAUAUUCUGAAGAUAAAAGAACCUGGCACUCCUAAGAAGCCAUGUUCAACAGCUGAUUCAAGAGUGCUGCUAAGAGUUCAAAACAUGCAGGAGGGGAGUCUUCUUGAGACAGAGCCAGGCCUUCCUCAAUUUUGCAUUCUGUGCAUCAGUGCUCAUUGUUGACUGGGGAGAGAAAUGAGAAGCAGCAAAGAGGAAGGAGGUGGCGGAAAGCGGGGAAAGGCCGCCAGAUCCCACCCUUGGACCCCCAUGAAAAUGGAAACAAUGGAACAAUCAAAGUUGAGAAGCCAACCAUGCAAGCCAGCCGCCGGUGCUGUUGACCCAAGGGCCGUGGUCCACGGUACUUGAAGAAGCCAGAGCCCACAUCCUGUGCACUGCUGAAGGACCCUACGCUCGGUGGCCUGGCACCUCACUUUGAGAAGAGUGAGCACACUGGCUUUGCAUCCUGGAAGACCUGCAGGGGGCGGGGCAGGAAAUGUACCUGAAAAGGAUUUUAGAAAACCCUGGGAAAACCC
rnacentral:lncRNA from 10 species